rnacentral:rRNA from 1 species
GACGAACGCUGGCGGCGUGCCUAACACAUGCAAGUCGAACGGAGAUUUCAGCAAUGGAAUUUUAGUGGCGAACGGGUGAGUAACGCGUAGACAACCUACCUUCUAGCUGGGGACAACACUGCGAAAGUGGUGCUAAUACCGAAUGUUGUAUUUUGAGUGCAUACUUAAAAUACUAAAGGUGGCCUCUAUUUAUAAGCUAUCACUAGAAGAUGGGUCUGCAUCUGAUUAGCUAGUUGGUGAGGUAACGGCUCACCAAGGCGACGAUCAGUAGCCGGUCUGAGAGGAUGAACGGCCACACUGGGACUGAGACACGGCCCAGACUCCUACGGGAGGCAG